ACAACUGUCCUGACUUCGUAACAUUAGACAAUGGACAGGUCGAAUGGUCUGUAACGAUGAGUUAUCCUCAUCGUCACUUUAUAAUUUCGUCACAUUUCAAAAUAUUCAUUAGGAAAAGCAACUUCCACUAAGUACGCAACCAACUAUGCGUCAACGUGCAGUAGGUAUUGCCUAGAUUUUUACCGAGUAUUUGGAUGAUGUUGGUAAUAUUUGGUGAAUUAGGGUCUAGCAGUUGGCAAUGACGACAUCCGGCGAACGUGUAUGUCAUAUCGGCCAGAGCGGCUGUUCGUCACAUAAUUUUUCGUUCUUGUCCGAAGAAGUCAACUCCAGUGGCCAUUGUGUAAAAUAGGAAUUUUGUUUGAAAAAUUCCCUUAUCAGAAGAUUAAUUUACGUUGGAAGAAGUUUUUUGUUUGUUUGGGGUUUGUGACUUAAGAAGAACAUUUUGUUUCCAAUACUUUUGUGAGAAGCAAUGGCCACUGGAGGAAGACUAUAACUUUAUUUUGGAGGAGAAGCUACCUUUGUUUUGGAAGAGUGGAAGAUUAAGUCAACAUUGGAUUUUAGUUACUUUAAAUUAUGGAAUAAGCAACAUUUUGGGAUUUCUUUUGGGUUUGGAUUGGAAGGAUGUUGGAUUUUCUUUUGUUUCUGGAAUAGACAUUGAUUUUUACCGGUAAUAGUAACGUCGGACUCGUCGGACCUCCCUGUUGUUGUUAAGUACCUCCCUAGGGUUGGGAAAACGGGAGGAUGUCUACCUGGCUCUCCCAUCAUCAACCCCACUAGGAGUUUGGAGAAGCCACAGGCCCUACUUUUGUAGAAGUUACAGGUUUUUAUAAUAAAAUUUACAUUUUCAAUUCUUUUAAAUAAUAUAUUGCAAUUUUAAUAUUUUUUUCAAUAACGUUUAAAUAAAUAACCUUAAUAAUAAUAUAAAUUCACCUUUCUAAAACCUAUUAGCUUUAUAAUUCAAUAUUUUUCAACAAAUUUUAUAAUUCACCGUUCAUAUCAUUUAAUUAAAAUAGUCUGGGGAUUAUAAACUAUCUGUGAAGGUGUUGUGCACAAUAUCUAAGGUAUAUUCCCUUAUUUAAUAACAUUUAUUUCAUUUGUCAGGUAUUGUACUCAGGUUUGUCACUUCCUGUUAGAUACGGGAUUGUCAACCAAUAUUGUCAUCCUCAUUAAUAAUAAGUUUUGUUAAUGUACAUACCUAUUUACACCAAUUAACUGUCUUGGUACAAUAAAUUCAAUACAUAUAUUUUUUUUCCUACUGUAAAACCUGCGUUAUCGACAGGGGCGUACUAGCCUAGUACAUCAGGUGGUUAGCUAGUUUGUAUAAAAUUGUAUAUAAGGGUUUUAGGUAUAUUCCAUUAAAUUUGGUUGUAAAUA
rnacentral:lncRNA from 1 species